rnacentral:rRNA from 1 species
ACCCGCACAAGCGGUGGAUGAUGUGGAUUAAUUCGAUGCAACGCGAAAACCUUACCUACCCUUGACAUGUCCGGAAUCCCGAAGAGAUUUGGGAGUGCUCGCAAGAGAACCGGAACACAGGUGCUGCAUGGCUGUCGUCAGCUCGCGUCGUGAGAUGUUGGGUUAAGUCCCGCAACGAGCGCAACCCUUGUCAUUAGUUGCCAUCAUUUGGUUGGGCACUCUAAUGAGACUGCCGGUGACAAACCGGAGGAAGGUGGGGAUGACGUCAAGUCCUCAUGGCCCUUAUGGGUAGGGCUUCACACGUCAUACAAUGGUCGGUACAGAGGGUUGCCAACCCGCGAGGGGGAGCUAAUCCCAAAAAGCCGUCCACAGUUCGGAUUGGAGUCUGCAACUCGACUCCAUGAAGUUGGAAUCGCUAGUAAUCGCGGAUCAGCACGCCGCGGUGAAUACGUUCCCGGGCCUU